CAGCCGCCGCGGGAAUACAGAGGGUGCGAGCGUUAAUCGGAUUUACUGGGCGUAAAGCGUGCGUAGGCGGCUUUUUAAGUCGGAUGUGAAAUCCCUGAGCUUAACUUAGGAAUUGCAUUCGAUACUGGGAAGCUAGAGUGUGGGAGAGGAUGGUAGAAUUCCAGGUGUAGCGGUGAAAUGCGUAGAGAUCUGGAGGAAUACCGAUGGCGAAGGCAGCCAUCUGGCCUAAUACUGACGCUGAGGUACGAAAGCAUGGGGAGCAAACAGGAUUAGAUACCCCAGUAGUCCCUGUCUCUUAUAC
rnacentral:rRNA from 1 species